CUUGUGCAUUUUUAGCAUGCUGCAUGCAUUUGACGUAGUCAAACUGAGAGCUUGAGAUAAGUAUUUAAAGUAACAAAAUGAAUUUCCUCUUUUAUCUUUCAGAUUUUGUGUAAUGACUGGGGAAAAAAAAAAAAAAAAAAAAAAAAGAAGGAAGAAAGGCAAGCAGGUGAAAUAUUUUAAAUGAAGCCCAGAACUGUGAAGAAAUAUACUCUUAUGUAUCAUUUUCUGAUCACCAUAAUGUCAGCUGGGUGAAAGGCUUCAGAAUGGUUUACUUCUGAAGAAUCACUUGCCUGGAUUUCAGCAACUGCCUUUGGGAAGAGCCUGGAACAACGCAUCUGCUUACACCCCUGUGUAAUCAAAGGGAGGCAUUUUUCCAAGCAGACAUUGGUUUGGUGCAGCUUUGAACAAAACAAGAGCAAACAAAACCCAACAGUGCUGAAUGCUGCACUCUUGCUGCAUGGUGGAAGUAACUUGAGUUUACUGAGAGUUUCAGAGUUCAGCCUUGCAGUACAUCUUCUCUAACAUGAGACUUGAUCAGCUUGCUUUCAUAGCCACAUAUAGGGAAACGAAAAUAGAAGUUGCUUGAAUCCUGUUAGCUCUUCUGGCAAGAAGCAGGACAUCGGCAACUUUCUAGCUGAGAGCCAGAAGCAAUCUGUAGUGUCCCAUGACUCUGCUGGAUGAACAGUGUGGUCACAGUGACUUUUGGAGCGACGGUCACUGCUGGAGUUAAAGGAAGUUUUGGUUCCCAAAACCAGAAAGAAGGAAGUGGAGGAGGGAGCAGCUUGAGAACUAUCACAAGAAUGUGAUAAGGAAGGGAAGAACUACACACGUGAGAGGUGAUGCCAAGGAGUAAGAUCUGAGCUCCUAUUGUACUGGAAUUGCUGCACGAAAACAAAUUUGCCUGAGUAUUUUUACCAAACCCUGAAAGCUUGAGCACAGACAAACACAGGUAAGGUUCAGCCUUUGUUCGCCACAGUAUUGUCUUCCUGAGACCAGAAUGCCCAAUGAAGGACAGCUAGCAGCUAGCAGUCCCAUCAGAUAUGUUAUUGCUUGGGAUGACUUUGGGCUCAAUAACACCUACAGAAUCUGUUGAAAUGUUUCCUAAAUCCUAGCCAGAUGUAAACCCUCCCAUAACAAGGGUAACAGAGCAGCCUGAUGUUUCCAGAGCGUGAUUUUGCCUUGAAGCCUUGGUGAGUAAUGGGUAUAAAUUACCAAUGGUCUACUUAUUUUUUGUUUUACCUCAUGAUAUAUGAUUGGCUAUUCUGCCAACUGAUAGCUUGCAGCUAUGCAAGCCUCAGACAGACAGGCUAAAUCUAGGGAAGCACAAAAUGACUUGAUGCUUGUCUUAUAUCUAGAUUGUAAAUGCUUAGGCCAGGAACCGCCUUUGUUUGCUUUUAUGGGUUUUUUUUUGUGUGUGUAGCUAGGUAACGUAGCUUGGCCAACUCCAUGACAGUUGUCUUGGGCAUGGCUGCACUGCAACCAGAAAGUCAUUACCAGCAAUCAGCCCUCAGUGCAUGCAAGUUUCUCGUGCUUGUUUGAGAGGUGAAGCACUUGUGAAGGUUUAAUCGAAAUCUGAAUACAUGUGACUGAAAUUGGCUCUCUGUGAUUAUUUAUACAAGUAAAUCUGCUUCUCAGAAGUUCCCAGAAAUCAAAUGCCAGCCUUGUCUGAUCAUUUUUUUAAAGGAGUAAAUAUUUGUUGAAAAAUUCUUUGCUAUAUUAAUUUUGCUCUGCUGCCCUGAUAGGGAUGAGGAGGGACUCCUGGUGUGCAUCAAUCAGCCUUCAGUGAAGAGGGACCAAAAUAGCUGAUUACUUGGUCCAUAACACAAUCCUCUGAACGAAACCCAGACCUUUCAGGUGUCCCAGCAAAGAUCUUAAAGUAUCUCAUUUUCCUUAUUACAUCUGCAUAGCCAGCUAAAAUAUUCCAGGAAAUGUUCCUCAUUUCAACACUAGGUACGUCAGGUAAAGGUAUUUUAAGCAGGAGGUAGUUUAAGCAGAGUGAGACAUACUUCCAUGUUUUCCUAACCCCGCUUGAAAGCACGUCUGCCAGUAAGUGGUUUGCAACUUGACAGUCAGCCAUGGCUAUUUUUUCAUUGCUGUAUAAUGUCUAUAAUGUUCUCAUUCCCUGUUGCUGACCUUUUUUUUUUUUUUCUUUCACUUUCUCUCUUUUUUUUCCUCUUUUUGUGGUAACCCUUUUACCUUCUUUUCCCCUGCUUAGACCCAUUAGCAGGAUGUUGUGCAAUAUGGUGCUUGUCAUCUGUUUCAAAGACACAGUGAUGAGAUACAGGUAUGCCAGAUGGAUAAACCUAGUGUGACUAAUUAUUGUGUAUUUGCCUUUAAUUAUUAUCAUUUAUUACCAGAGAAAAGACAAUAGAGGUUCUCAGACUCAGAAGGGAAUGUCGGCAGAAGGGGAUUGUUUUCUUUUUUUUUUAUUACAAGAGAGUGGUACAUCAGCAAGAAAAGUUUUCUUCCUGAGGAGAAACGUAAGUAAACGUUGAGAUGAGAAGUCAAUGUGACCCAUGCAGGGCUUUCCUUUCCCUGACAUACUUGAGAAUCAGAUAUCUCAGAGGUAAUAGUUUAUUUGUGAUUAUAGAUCAACUUUUCCUUUGCUUGAAUGUAUUAAUGAGUAUGUGGAUAUCCUUCAGUCAUCUGCACAGGUGUUUUCCCUUAGAGAAAUGAAACCUGUAAGUCACUAAGUUGUAAUUUUUAAAUAAAUAAAGCCCAGGUUAGCAAAUAUCAUUGAAGAUUUCAGUGACAUCAGGCUGAGCCUCCCAGUCUUUGAAUUGAAUUUGCCUCCAUAUUUGACGCAAACAUAUAGGAUCUCUCUGGUGUUUGGCAUGUGUGUAGACAUUUCUCUUUCAGUUAUUAUAACCUUAUUAUCACUAAGAAUCCUUCAAAACGCAUAUAAAACAUUUCAAAAUAAAGAGGACAUCUCUGUUGCAUCUAUGUUAGUCUAGGCCACUUUGCUCAGCUCAGGAUCUACAGCCAGGCAUUCUGGGCUACUUUGAGAAUCAGAAUCAUGAAUGUCUUUGGUUGGAAGGGACCUUAAAGCUCCCUCAGUUCCAACCCCUGCCGUGGGCUGGUUGUCCCCCACCAGACCAGACUGCCCAGGGCCCCAUCCAAUCUGGCCUUGAACAGGAUGGGGCACCCACAACUGCUCUGGGCAACCUGAACUAAAGGUUGAUAUCAUUAGGAAAACUUUUGGAAAUGUUAAUAAUAUAGCUCCCAAAGCUGCUUUUAUUUUGCAGCUGAAUCUGCUAUUAUUUACUAGCACAGGCAAGAUUAUGAUGGCUCAUAACUUUGAUCUUCUUGCUUAUGGGGCACAGCACUUUAAUUUGGGAGCAGCCAUACUGAUUUGGUAAACAGAUUGAGGAAGAGCUUCAGACGUGCGCUUUAAAAUUCAUGAAGAUCUGAUACAGUAUGUCUUAGACUGAUAUUUUUGCAUAUUGACUCUGUGGCUAAAUCGCAUCAUAACCUAGAGGACCAGUGAUCACCUUGAUCUAUCACAGAUAGUACAAGGCAUAAUCAAUGUUGCUAGUCUGCUGAAAUUUUUCUAUAUAUAGUAUUUGUCAGAAGAAUACAUGCAAAGCUACUAAAAGAAACAAAGUCCGUACAUGGACGAUUUACAAACAGGAGAAAGGGCUAAAUUUGCCACUGUUUGCCCUGAAUAGCUUACCCGGAUUACAGGCCAAUUUUGUUUUGGACAGAAAUAUUUUCCAUUGCAGAGUCUGCUAAAGUCAACAGAGUGCUAUUCCUUUGGCUGCAGGAUGGACUGAAGGCUGGAUUGUAUUUUGGGAUUGGCAGCUCUGUCCAUCUCCCUUUAACCCAUCUGACCGCAGUUUGACUGGGACUUGACUAAGCACUUAAUUCUGUGAUUGCCUUGAUUGUGGACUCUUGCUCCUAAACCUAUUGCAAUAUUGUUAAUAUAUAGCAAUAAAAAGCUGCUCCUGAUAACCAAAAAAUAUUAUAUUAAAUUGAUAGACUGGGUAUUAAAAAUGCAGAACCAGCCUAAUGAAAUAACUUGCCUUUGGUUGCAAGAACCUUCAUCAUAAGAAGAUUUAAGACUAAUCUGACUUGGAGCUGCUUCAUUCCAAUUAUUUUUCAGGAAUUUUGGGGGCUUUAUUUUUCUUUUCAACAUCAUUAUUCAGUCUUGACAGUUCUUAUUUUGUUAAUUUUUUUUGCAUAUUGAGUAAAUGAGAAAUCAGUUCACAACCAUUCUUAAGGAGAAAUGAAAUGCCCAGUAAUCCAAUUUUGAUCAAAAUGCAUCUUUGCUUUUCAGAGACCGACCAGCCUGUGCAGUUAUCUCCACAUGCACAGAGUUGAUAAUAAAGCAAAGUAAAGCUCACAUUCUUUUCCCAUUGAGAGAAAAUCUCACUUGGUGGGAAUGGGGCAUUGUUCAGCUGGAGAACAAUGUGCUGUUCCCUCAGCGUGUAGCAAAGCAGAGAAUGACAAGAUGAUUUCUCCCUGUGCUUCUACUUUUGUUUCUCAAAUGUUUACAGGCCCAGAGUAAGCCUUUUCUUCACCCUAGCUGGGUGGUUCUCUUUCCUGCAAACCUUUCUUUCUGUCUCUCCUGAUGCCUUGUGUUUGCAGAAGAUAGCUUGCUACUGCAGCGCUUUUCCCAAAAGCAACCUUGAGAAGAAGAGACAGACCCAGCUGUCUUCACAGACCUGUUCUAAAGCUCCUCUGCCUUCCGCUUCAGCAUCCAUUGCCACUUGGUUUUGAAAAAAAAACCACAAAACAACAAACACAGAAGAAGCCAAAAUGCAUCACAAAAAUACAAUCCCUUUCCAAAGAGUGUCUGCACAAACAAGCUCUGUGUGUCUCACAUGGUGCAUAGAAGUAUUCCCAUAAUCCAUUGGUUUGGGGUUUUUUUGGAAUUGUGCUGUUUUCAGUGAUUCCAGCUUAGUCCCUAACAGGUUUUUAUUCACCUUUGCCCUUUAGAACUUAUACCUAAAGGAGCCACUGCAUUUCUCUUGAGCAACAUCAGCAAAAUCAGUGGUUUUGAAAAGUUUUCUAGCAAUCAAGCAAAGCUGUUCCACUUCUAUGAAUGUCCUUCUUCCUUUCUACCACCCGUUUCCUCACCAACUCCUCCUAGCUAUUGAACAGAAAAACAGGACUUUUCUGUUUGUUUUUCUCUGCCAUCAGUUCACUUCUCCACGUUUUCAGAGUUCCUGAGUGUGUUUCUGAACCUUCUGACUUCAAUGGCUGUGUGCUGAUGUUUAUUCAGAUGAAUAAGCGGUGGAGAGAGAAAAACUAAAUGGUUUGAGGACUCUAUGUGAAAUAUAUGAGUAGGUAUUGGAUGAAGGUGUUGGAUGGGUAUGGAUAAACACGUAUAUGAACAAAGGUAUUGGAUGAUAGGUGUACGAAUGGAACCAGAUGCACUGUAUCUGGGCAUUAUCUUCCAUUAGUGUCUCAAAGCAUUUUGAUACCCUUCAGAAUUGUUUUUAGAUUCUUCCACCUGGACUGUAGCACAACUAGAUUUAUGCUGCUUAAUGGGCUGAUUCCGGGGUGGAAAGUAGACUUUGGAUUUCCAAGCUUCCCAUUAAUUCCUCAGUAUUUUAUCUGUAUUUUAAAGAGCUCUAGCAGCUUAGAAAAAUAAUGGCCACUGUCCAUUGGUUCGAGAGAAAGCAAUGCAAAGGGCAUUUUUCCAGGAUGAGGCAGAAUACUGAACAGUUUUAUCAACUGACAGAGCUUAUUUCCCAGGUACCUGUCGGUGUACCAUCACCCAUCUGUUUAAACCACUUGGGAUUCUGAGCCCACAGGAUCUUGUGAAGAAGGUUGUAACAGAGCAAUGCACUCCUGUGUGCUGCUAAAGAAAGUUGGCCACACACCUGAGUCUGGGUUGUCACAUGAAGCAAGUAUUAGAUGUGAGAAUCAUCAUGAACAUAGAUAUUCAGUAAUCAUCUUGACGUUAUAAGUAACAGCCAAUUGUUUCCUAAAGAGUAAGAAGGGAAGAUGAGAGAGAUAACAAAUCACUGUGUGAUAUUAUGAAAAGGAUCUCUUCCUAGACCAACAGUAAAUGGCUUCUUUUCCGUGGCACUAGGAAACAACCAUGUUUAUAACUAAAAAACCUGAACUUUUCAAACGUAUUCUGUUGCCUUUCCAAGUUACCUUUAUUUUUGUUUACCCAUCACUUGUUACUGUCUUAUUUGUAUCUAUUCUUUUCAAGACAACUUGUGGUUUCUUGACUCUUCACCCUUUCUGUUUUCUUCACCAUCUAACCUUAGAGCAUUCCUCUUUUUUCUCUCUGAAAAUCUGCCUGCUGGUAUUUUCCAUGAAUCCAUCUGCAUUGAAUUAUUUAUAGUUACAAUAAAGUCUGCUUUUGUCUAAUGUUUAUUUUCUUUAAUAAAAAGAAACGUGGGGAAAAUGUUCCAAAGAACCGAAAAAGGACUUGACUUUUCCUGGACGCUAGGCAACGGUAGCCAAAAAGCACAAAACAAGCCAUAGGAUGUUUGUAAGAUGAUUUCUAAAAAUAAUAAUACUUAGAACUUUGGUUUCUAAUGCACUUUUUUUUGCCUUCAUUAUAUUUCCCAAAUCUGGGCCUCGAUUACAAUGUUGUCAUGUCACCCUAAAGGCUGUAGUAACCAAGGAACUACUGUAGAGGCAACCAGGAGCAAUAAGCAGAUGGAUACAGCUGAUAGAGGCCAGGCUUCUUCUUCUUCUCCUUGUCUUAAGUGUUUUAUAUAGGUCAUGGAACUCUCUUAUGCUGGUCAUUCCUGGCCAGUGGGUUUAUCUUGUGUCUGGUAGAAAUUAGAGCAAACAAUGUAUCUUACCUGAUGAGUCAUUGCUAGUUCUUUCUUAUUUUUUACUGCUUGUUUGAAUUGAGUUUUUAUUAUGAUUUAAAGGUUUUUCCCAUCUUCGUUUCCAGUGGAGGGUUUAUGUUGCUCAUAUGCCUUGUUUUCUCUUCAGUUAUGUGAGUCAUGCAAGCAUUUCCCCUUGAACACUUUCCAGCACCCCCCACCCCAUAUCUCACCCCUCCGUGUUCUCCUCCUCAUUUACUCAGCUCCAUUCUGUUCCGUGCUUCCUGCACUGCCUACAGUGGUUGCACUUAGCGCGGAUGCUAUGGGGGAGGGAAUAUGGAAGGCAAGAAGGUAAAGGAAGGACUUCUGUGGAAUCUGCAUGAGCUGAAACAUGACAAAGGCUGAAGUGAUAAAAUAAGUGACAGGAGGAAUAGAAGAGAGGAGCAAGUUAAAGUCCAGGUCCUGAGUGAUAAGAGACACCCUCAGCAUGGAGCUCUGAUGCUUAGAUCACAGGAGGAAAGUAGGAUGCUGGUACCACAGAAGUAGUGUGCUCCAAACUUCGGGCUGUGCCUACUGGCUGGGGAUGAAAUCUGCCUCCAGGCCUACGCUCCCCAAGCACCCUCAAAAUCAACACUUUGCCCUGCUCAUCCCCAGAUACACAGAAAGCCUGGGCAAGGGAAAUCCUCCCGGAUGAAACAUGGGAAGCUCCUGCUGAUGAACCUGCUUGGUCUCCUUCCUGGAUGUGUUCACAACCACACUCCCUGCUGUUGUUGGGACCUGAUACGUCAACACGGCUCUCGACCUCUCCUCAUUGAAAUGUAUCUCAAAAAUCACCGUCCUUUUGUAGGCAAACCUUCCCUGCCUGGCAAAUAGGGAAUUUUGCCCUCCUUAAUGAGAGCUACGCUAUCUGAUGGCUGCCCGAUGAAGUAGGUGCUCAAGGAGGCCACCUCUACACUGAACAAUCCCAUACAUCAGAGGCCACCCCUUUGAAUUCAACAGUUUUUCUGGUGCUAAGAGAGAAUAUUGAAAACCUGGCCUUAAAUCACACUUUUCAGGUAAUACGCAGCAAUGAAUGGAAGAGAAAAGGAAGCCAGGAGGCUUAUAGGAUUUAAGGAGCUUCUUUUGAAAGAAGAAUCCACCCUGCUGCUCAUGGCCAGAUGCUCAUCUAUGCCUGGAGAUGUGCAAAUAAACAUAAGGUGUAAAGCUGUUAGCGGUGGUUCAUGGCAACAGACUAACUCCUGUCAAGGAAAAGCAGGUUAGGUAAACUUUUCAGGUGUUUGGAGGUGAAUCUUUUCAUUUGUGCACAGCCCUUGGUUGACCCAACUAUUUCACAUCAUUACCAAUUGCUUUGUUCGUAUGUAUCAAACUUCUUUCUUGUGCUUUAUUGGUUUUUGCUCUCGCUGACCUCUUCCAGCAGUUUACUUUCUAACAUCCUGAAAGCUUCAUCAUGACUGCUCAGUGCACCUCACCCAGGGCUGAGAUUAAAAGUUAAAAAAAGAGAAAGAGUGAACACAACGGGAGAGAAAACAGAAGAGAUUUUGGCAGCAACCUGGUGACACUCUGAAGUAAGUGAAAUGGGAUGGGUAACCACCUGGAAUAAUGGCAGGGGGAAAAAGAGAGAGAAGAAGCUCAGGGAAUUGGCUCAAACAGCAGGGCCUGGGCAAGAGGAUUAGGGGAAAUAGCAGUGUGAGCAGACCUCAGGAAUGGAGAAAGCAGAAAGCGUAUCAUCUCAGCUCUCUGUUCCAAAGAGAGGUGUCAAGAUCAGUUAAAAAAAUGGAAUAUGGGCUUGUCUGAAUCACAACACAGAGCCCCAGUUCCUCAUAUCCAAUGGCUGCUUCUAUCCCAAACUAAAACUUCUAAGGUGCAAGAGAAGUCACAGAGUUAUCCAAAGUGAGAGGAGGAAGGAGAGAAAGUGGAAAUCAAACGGGAGAGCAAAUCUGCUUUCCACAUCUUACCGCAGCUGCAGGACACUUUGCUGUAGCAUGGCCAGCAGAACAUCAAUAAUAUCCAUCCCCAGGGGUGCCUCAGAGUGACAUUUGUGGCCUCCCUCUGCACACUGGGGUGUGGGGGACAGAAGGAGGUGAGAGUAUGUCAGCCUGGCCAAAGCUCACUCAGGCUGAACCCAGGACCUUCUGCCAUUUCUAUUCCGGGAACUCACCGAGGGGUUAUGUUUGGGUUGCCUAAACAGAACGUUGCUGCCAUUGAUAGAGGAUAAACAUUUUAUUCAGUAGCAGUGGGGGGAGAUUUGGGAGUCUGACUCUGCUCUGAAUGCGGGUGACAAUUGAAACAUUCAGUACGCUUGCCAGGAAAUAUCUCAAGAUUCAUUUAGUGUCAAUAAUAGAAAAAAAAAAUAUUUUGACAAAACUAGAAUAUUUCACUUCUUCUUUUUUUUUUUUUUUUUUUUUUUUUUUUAUUAAUUAUCUAGUAUAUGGUAGAAAAUUAAAGCACAAAGCCAAAUAUUGUUGUGUCCUCUCCGAAAAGUUGGCCUGGGUUCUCUAGCACAGCCAGAACCUUUCUUGCAGUUUUCCUCCAGAAAGUAGUGCUGACAAAAUCAAUUUGUUGCUAUGAAGUGUUUCAGUGCAGUUGGAAUCACAUAACUUUUAGUUAGUACGUGUACAAUUGUCUCUAGCUCUAACACACUCCAGGUGUUUGUCUCUCAGUUUAUCAUCUAAAAGUUGCAAAAUUUAGGCUUUGCUUUAGGUUUCCAGUACCAUGAAAUUUCAUAAAGCCAAGUGAUUCUUGAAUUGGGACUUUUGAUUUCAACACAUGGGAGAAAAACACUGUGUGAGAUCAUGGUAAUUGAGAAGGAAUUCCAAGAAAGACCAACUGGAAGUCUAUUGCUUGAUACUAAAUCACUGGAACUGCAUGAAGUCUCUCAGCAAAAGAUACUGUGUAAACUUCAAAGGUUUUUUUUUCUUUUUUUAAAGGAAAAAAAAAGAGCAUUUUUCCUGCAUUCUUUUUUUCACAAAGUAUAUGAUGUUGGAAUUUUUUUGUUGUAUUUUUUUCAUGUGUAUAUUCUGCUUAAUUUAUAAUGCUAAUGAGGAAUUAAAUUGCUACAUCUUCAGACUAAUGACCCUUCUCAAGGCUAUUUUAACGGUGCCUUCCCAGCUUUUCCAAAUCCCUGCCUUGCAUUUAGGAGACAGAGAGAAGUGUAGAUUCCAUGUCUGCCUUUGGUGUUUCUGCCAACAGCAGAUUUGAGGAAUGCAAUGCCAUGUCCCAGGGUACAAAAAGCUUUGCUUUGGCAUUCUUGACAUCUUUGGUCCUUGUUGUGGCUAUCUCAUAAUUCAUGCAAGUGUUGCCAUACAACUGCAAGUUUUUCAUGAGGUCAUAAAAGUGAUUUAUAGAGGUUUUCCCAUAAUCUUCAAGAAAAUUAAGGAAGGUUGAUGGAGCUAUUCAACUCAGUGUUGCCUCAACAAUGGUUUCAUUCAGAAAUGACACUGAGCAAGAUUGAGGGAUUUAAGAUAGCAAGAAUGUCCUUAGGAAGUCUUUUCUGUCUGUAAAAAAUGUGAUGCAUUCAAACUAAAAAGUGUUGUUUCUUCUAUACAUUUUGAUGAUUUUACCCAUGACAACUACUUUGAGAUUAGUCAGAGAUUUUUCUUCCUUCACUUUCUGCAAAAGGCUGAUUAACCCACUGCAGAUCCCCGCUUGGCAAAAUAAUUUCUUCUGAGAUAUCUGAAGGUUAAGAUUACCUUUCCUUCGACUACUGUUUUGUUUUGAUUUUUUUUGCUUUUAAAGUAAUUUUACACUGAUAUGGCAAGAUCUACAUUAAUGUAGAUAUAUAGAUGCUUUUGCAAAAAAUAAAAACUGAAGUAAAACACAAGAAUCAAGCUACUGAAUUUCCAUGCUGUUUAAAUAGAACAUUUCAGAGCUGUGGGGACUUGGUGCUUCCAACCUUACUUUUGAAGCUGUAUGUAAAGUGGUUUCAUUUUUACAGAACUGCAUAGUCCAAAUGAGCUUUCACUAAACUGCCUCCAACUUCAAUAUAUUCCCUACUUCCAACAUGGAGAAAGCUUGGAUGUAGCUCCCACCUCUGUGACUGGGGCUGAGUGCCAAUUACACAGCACCCAGUGGCCUAUGACUCUCUUUUUUCACUUCUAAGAAUCUCUCUUUUCUAGCUAAAUCUUCAGGACUGCUUGCAAACUAUUUGCUCUGGAGUUGAAAGUAACCUUGAAAACACUACUGCAUAGUAGUAACCAAUGGGAUUAUCCCAUCCUUUCUCAAAAAUGGUGGUGUAUCAUUCCUAUCUUUCCUCUUCAGACUCUUCCCAGCAGGUUUCUGAAGACCUCUUUAAGGUAGGUGAUAUAGUUUUUUUCCUCUUGCAUUUGAGUAUUUCAUCUCAAACUUCACAGAGAGACAACUAUCUCCUAACUGCGUGUGAAAAGCUAAGAGUGUUUUUCAUGUAUGUUCUAAAGCAUUUGAUGCAAUCUAUACAAUGAUUAUAUACAAAUAAAGACAAAUUCUUUUAAAAAUCACCUUUUUAUUGGAAGAAGCAGGCCUUUUAGAGGAAAGAAACCAUAAAGGUCAUACACAGAUCAAGAAGGAUCUAAAGGUGAGAAAUUCAAGUACUUUGAAGAGUAUUUGAAAUGCAAAUAUUAACACAAGACAGAGGACAGAGGACACCCUGAUAUCAGAAAAUUUGUCCUCAGAAUGUCUCCUUGGGUGGUGUAAAAAUAUUUUGCCAAAUUCUGUUCUCACAGUUUGUGAAUUAAAAGUAACUCGGCAAUGUGAGUUCAUUAAAAGGGAGAUGGCAUCAACCUUGCCACGUUCAAGGCAGGUUGCAAACAGCUUUAAGUAUAUAAAUAAAAGAUAGGUUCUUUGACACACAGUACCAAAUGGUAUUUCAAGGCAGCGCUGUCUCACAGCCAAUGUGUUAUAGCAAGCUCAUAAAAGAAAACAAUGAAAUGCGGCCUUGCAUCUUAUUUUUGGUUCAUGUAAUAUUAAAAAGAAAACAUUAUUAUUACUAUAAUAGUAAUUAUUAUUGUUGCUUUAUUGUUACUAUUAUUAAUUCUUGCAGUUUUCUCAUGGCAUUCCUUAAAGCCUCAGCUACUGGAAUGAAGGGAUCAUUGGAAGAAUUUCAAGUUUGUUUGUUUUUAUGUGGUGUUCCAAUUUUCCUAGUUACAAAAAUAAACCCAAAAACAUAUUCUGAGUGCAACUAACAAAUGGAAUGAGGGCACAUAAAAGGCAUCUAAUGCUGCAUUUCUAUAUCAGGCAUGUUAUAAAGAACAAGUUUCAUUUAAAUGUCCAGAGUGUCAGUAAUUAGAAUGAGCCUGGCAUUCCUUGUUACCCUGUGAAAUUACCUGCAAGGCCUUUUCAUAUUGUUUUCCUGCCAUUGUUUUCAUGCUCCGUAGAGCAUUAAGAGUCAAUGACGGGCAGCUCUUGUGUUAGUCAGUCUAUGAGUCGUAGAGUAUUCUUUAUUUGGAGCUAUUGGAAACACCUCAAGGUGUUUAUUGAUAAAUAUUUCCUAAAGACCUUUGUAAUAGAGAAUUCUCUUUCUGCCUGCUCUCCAGUACCUAUAAGGCCCAUCUUUUCCCCCAAAAAUAUAAAUGUUUUUUUGUUUUCUUUCCAGUAGCCUCUGUAAUAAACCUUCAAUAGAAGCUAUGGAUGAAGUAUGCUUCCAGUCCAGCGCAGUCCUCCAGCUUUGAGCAGUGCAGUGCCAUUUCCUCUCCAUUUGUUUCUAUGGAGCUGACUAUGUGUGCGGUCAUCCAUAGGGGUGCUGAGAUACCCUGGAGAGAGAAGGAAUGGCUGGAGCUAUUUUUCAUUAUUUUAUCCUACACUUUGUAAUAAAUGAAAUCCAUAGCAUGUGAACAGUGGUCCUGUAGCUCAUCAUAUCCGCAAGCACAAAGAACCUUAUGUGCUAAAUAAAAUAAGUAAGCUUGAGAAAAAUUGUCUGGUGAGGCAGUAGAGUGUUCAGUGUUCAACUGUACAGUGCAACCUCUCUGACUGAGAAUGAUAUUAAGACCUACAGAACUACAGAACAACAGGUUUUAGAGCUAAAGCAGUCUACAAUUUGUAUCUAUCUACAUUCACAGCCUUUCUUCCACAACAAAAAUGUACUGACUUAAAUCUCCAUUGUUUUACAGAGGUCUUUGGGGUAAUAGAGAAUAGCAAGCAACUUGUGAUCCACAAAGGAAAAUGACAGCAGAAGGAACAUGAUAGAACUUCUGCAAUAGUGGUGAUGGUUGAACUCUAUCCUGAGAAAGUCCAUCUGUCUGUAUGGAAGGAGCAAGACAAACGCUCGGACAUGAGUCCCAGCUUUGCAGCUGCAGAUGCCACUCCUUCAAGUAGUGUUUCCCACUUGUAUCAAACCAGGGGUUUUGGGCCUAUCAUGGGACUACCUGCAAAUAAUGUUGUGGUUCUAAUUCCUCCAGUGUGUCUUCAUAGACCUGAUGUCAGCUUCUUUCUUGUGGAGAUGAAAAAUGUCACCAUGACUGUCCAUUGGCAAACUGGAUAAGAAAGAGUGUCACACUGCAGGACAACCUAGAAGAUGACAGGUAUUUCCAGGCACAGCAAUGAUGAGAUCAAAUUCCCCUCAACCUGCCUUGUUUGCUGAUCUUUUAAUCAGAUUCAACUUCACUGCAGCUACAGCACAAGGUUCCCUGACAAUGUAUGACAGCAUGUGACAGAAAAAUAUUUUGAUUUUUUUCUUUUUUUUUUUUUUUUUUUUUUUUUUUUACCAUUUGAUGCUAUUUCAGAUAUAUCUGAAGCCCUGGCAGCAUCUGCUAAAUCUACUGAACUGUUUUAGUGGAGGUUUUUAAACGUGCAUAAUUGAACUGGAGGGUUUGGGGGGUUGUGUUCAUGUGCAUGUAGGGGAAUCCAAACAGGAAAGCUGGGAAAUGAUCUAAACCCUUUGAGGUUAACGUGCCAUGAAAGAGCAUCAACAACCGAAGAGGACAUUAUUAAAAAGCAGCCAACCCAGCUCAAAAAGAACCACUCUGUGAAGCAAGAGCCUGCAGAACAACACCCAGGGCUGUUUGUGAUCCCACUGGGAUAUGUAUUUCAUCCCCUGUCUUCAUAUCUCCAGAUUUCCUCUGAACUGCUUCUGAGACGCAUUCUCGAAAAAGAAAAGCACCAGCAACUACUGAAUGCCUCUUAUCAACCUUUUCCCCGCAAUCUGUUUCGUAUUCGUCUCACACCCUUGUUCUCGCAGUGUCUUGGGGAAAUGCUCGGAUCAAAGAUAAGAGAGAACAAGGAAAGGAAUGAAGCAAGAGGCAAACAACAAAACAAAACCACCUCCCCCCCCAAAAAAAAACUUCUUGACUAAACUUCUCUGCAAAUCGUGUGCAUGAUUACAGCGCUGUUAAAACUGCCUUCUUCUUUGCCAGUACUUAAUUCCUGCUUUUAAAAUCAGGCUUCCUUUGAUCUUGAGGAUUGAAAUGAUCUGGAAAUGAAACAGCCAUUGCUUUGCAGAAAAUCUGGAUAGGGUCCCAGGCAUGGCUUUUACCUGGAAGGAUUCCAAAAUAGGAUGAAAUCUCUCCGGUUUCAGAACAAAUUGCAAGAUUUUUCUCUAUGUCUAGUCCAACUGUGGAACUCCAGCCCUGACGUCUGCUAGUUUCCAAAGCGCAGAUGUAAUAACCUCUAAGGUGAACUGUGAGCCCCAUUUCUCCAUUUUCUUCCCUCUGCCUCUCCUUCAAGGAUCAAAUGUUUGGAGAAUUUUAUUAAAACAAAGGCUUAAAUUUCUGAGCAAACUGAAGUUGAGGAGACAGUUGCUUAUAACCUGGGCUAGGUUCAGCCACAGGGGUGUUGAGCAGGACAGAGGACCAGGAGCAUCUGUAACAUCUGGAUCUUGUUGCAUAUGGAGAAAUAUCUGCCUGGCUUUGCACAACCUGAUCCCAGAGCCAAAAGGGCUGAAAAAUGCAGUGAAGAGACAAUGUGAAGCCGGCUUUGCCCUACCAAAUAAGUCCCACUGAGAAAGUAAGCACAUCAAUAUUUCUUUGAGUGUUUUUCUUCUAGUUACUAUAUUUCCAUAUGUUGCAUGAAUAUUUCUUUUAUUGGGGAUUGCAAGUCCAUCUGGUACUUGUAUUGGGAAGGCUUGAGCUGGCAGAUCCCUGCUUUGUGCUCCGUUGCAGAGAUUUGGACUACUCUUACAGGAAUCAUAGAAUCACAUAAUCAUUAAGGCUGGAAAGACCAAUAAGAUCAUCCAGUCCAACCAUCAACCCAUGCCUGUGACUGCCCUAGACCACAUCUCCAUGUGCCACAUCUCCAUGGUUCUUGAGCACCUCCAGGGACAGUGACUCCACCACCUGCCUGGGCGGCCUGUGCCAAUGCAUCACCACUCUUUCUGAGAAGUUUUUCCUAACAUCCAACCUGAGAACAGUUGUUGAUAAGUUAGAGACAACUAUUCAUCAGCUAUCUUUUUAGUUAGAACUUUCAAAAGAAAUGCAGGCUAUCAAGUUACUUACUAUCAUAUCAGUAUGUUCCCACAGUGUCAUUUUUUUAUGUUAUAAAUUAAGUAAGGGCUUUGUAUCUGAGGGGCAACAGUCAACAAGAAAGAAACCUCUCUCUCUGUAUGCAGUUCUCAGUGCACCAACUCUGACCUACAAAUCAUAACGGAGAAAGGAUGCCUGAACAUCAAUACUAAGCAGAAAAUGUGCUGAAAUGUCAUAGUUUGCCAAGACAAUGAGAAUCACUUUCCCUUGUAUGUAUUACUCCAGAACAGGGGAAUAAUUAUCUGCUUUCAUACAAGCUUUUUCCUUCUGCAUGAUUAAUUUCACUGAUAUCAACAGAGAGUGUGAUGACUCCGGAAUGACAGCUCCUGGUAGCAUGUCUAGGAUUAGCACAAACAGGUUGUCAUUGUACCCCAGUUAGGAACAGUCAGUCUUGUGCCGAGUGCGGGUCAGAAAAGCCAGGCUGGACACCAGACAUCUGCCAGCACCAUGUCUGUCUUCAUACUGGGUGGCUCUCAGAUUGGGAUAUAGAGCUGGCUACUUCAAUGGGGCACAAGGGCCUUCAUACAGACCCACAUGAUGGUGGUUGAGCAGUUUCCAGAUCCAAAUCGCCUGGUUAUCCUUGUGCUAAGGCAUGACUUGCAGCCUAAAAUCUGCGUACUUCAGCUCAUGGAAUGGUUGGAUGGAGAGGACGGUCAAAGAUGCAAGAGAACAAGCUGAGGCAUUGAUAUUAAACAACCAAACUAUACGUUUACUAAAGUUGUAAAAACAUCUGUCUUAGGUCUCCUGUGGAAAGUAAUCAAUAUGUGGAAAACUGGAUAACAACUAUGGGGACAGCAGGAACGUGCCUAUAAAUUGUGAAGCUAUUGUGAGCAUACAGAGCUAUCUGAGAAAGGCAGUGGGGCAGGGUAGCAGUGCUCAGUGGAGCUAGGACAGGGCCCACAUAAAGGGAUUCUUCAGCAAAGUCCAUACUUUGUCAAUGUCAAGAUACAUGGGAACUGUAAAACAAAGCAAACCGUGUGCAUGGAAUGAAAAUAGAAAUUUAGUCCAGCAUCGUGUGCCUUUGAAAACGUCAUAAUCCUUUUUAAAAAGAUGACAAAAAAGCUGUGUAUUUUUUAAGAAACAUAGCAGGUGAAAGGAUUCAUUCUCAAAAAUCCAUGAAGUGUACAGUGAUGAGUUAUUGAGGAUUGGGGGGGAGGGUGUUUUUGUAAUUCUGUAGGCAUCUCAGUCCUCUGGUGAAAUGAUGUAUGGGGCAAUCGUCUGGUAGGGGCUGAUGGGAUGUAAAUGAAACUAAUUAAGGAAAUGUCAAACAUAAUUAAUAAAACAGGUUUAAGUUGCAAAAGCACUGUCAGCUGAAUGAAUGGGGAAGAGUGUGGCAUUCCCAUUGUUGUGGGGCUUGCUUACUUAUUUAUAUAUUUAUUUAUUUAUUCCUUGCUCACCCCCUUGGCCUCCCACCAGCUCUGCAGUUGCAUCGUUCAAUUAGAUCUCAGAAAGCUCUUGCAUUUCCUCCUUGCCCCCCUUCUGAGCUGGGGUCCCAUAGAAUAGGAGGAAUAUAAAUUUGCCCUGUCGGUUUGCAGCCUGGGAAGAAGAAGAAAAAAAUUAAUUGCUAACUCCUCAUCUUCCCUAAGUACUACAGGACAUUAACAUAACCAAUUUGCUUGAACUCCUCACUGGCUGCUUAAUAGAGCAUCUGACCAGCUGAUAAGACCUGGGUGCUGCUGCCUAUGAUACCUUGUUAUUAGCAUUUUCAUAAUAUUCAGAUAUUACAGCCCCAUGAUUCACUAGCCUCCAUUCAUUAUUGAUAAGUACAAAAAAUAAAUAAAAAGGGUUUAUAAAUUGCAAAAGGGGGUGAGCGACCUAUAAUUAUGGCAAGCAAAUUAGGGUGCAUGGUAGAGUCAGUUACAUUUGCCUAGGAGUAAUGAUGCUCAAGAACUUUUUCUCCCCAGGGACAAGAAAAAUAAUGGAUUCCCUGGCAGCUGCAGAUGGGCUAGGAAAGGCUGUCAUCCAGGACACUGUUUAUAUAAGUUAGGCUGAGCAUAUGGCUCUGCGUCCUGCCUGUAGCCAUCUCCAGAUAAUGCUAUUUCAAUGACAUUAAAUAAAUACAUAAAUAAAAAUAACUGGACAGUGGUGGUGGUGGUGAAAGGAUAUGAGGAGGAGAAAAAGCAGGUUCAGAGAGUCCACAGCAAAGUUUCUACUGAGAGCAUCCCCAGCAGCUCAGCAAUCCCGCAAAAGCAGAGUCUGCCCAGCUGA